UACGUAGGUGACCAGCGUUGUCCGGAUUUACUGGGCGUAAAGAGCGCGCAGGCGGUCGUUCAAGUCGAGUGUGAAAGCCCCCGGCUCAACUGGGGAGGGUCACUCGAUACUGAUCGACUUGAAGGCAGGAGAGGGAAGCGGAAUUCCCGGUGUAGUGGUGAAAUGCGUAGAUAUCGGGAGGAACACCAGUGGCGAAGGCGCUUCCUGGCCUGCAACUGACGCUGUGGCGCGAAAGCUAGGGGAGCAAACGGG
rnacentral:rRNA from 1 species